rnacentral:lncRNA from 1 species
CCUGCUAAAGUUCCCCAAACUGAGGACUUCUCUAAAGAAACAAACAAGAAGAUUUCCAGCCCCGCCUCUGCAGAAGUUGAAUCCGGAUCUGGGAAAAGAAGUAGAAUUUCAGAGUUGAAUCAGCGUGGAUGUUUGUCCCUGCACUCCACUGUCUCCCAGCCCCAUCCUUGAAAACCCUCCUUGUCCAUCUGGACCCAGGGACAGCUGAUACAGACAAUCACAUGAAUCUUUCCGACAAAGGUCUUCGCCUCUCACUGUGGCAAAAAAUGUAAUGGAUAGCUUUUGAAAGCUGUCUGACAUGCUUUCUUUUUCCUCCAGGGGUGCCGAACAUUGUCUGUGGAAUAUUGAAGACCCAACAAACUCUAGAAUGAUAGGCAUCAACAUGCUUGUAUUUGGAACUUGGAACAAUUGGAACUUGGUUAAAAACAGUUUCUCUCUGAUGUGUGGCUUAGGGCACGCACAGGUGCUUGGGGAAGAGAUUGUAUUGGUGUCAUCUUUUAGUCCAACAGGUGAUCUCUCCAGAGAAGCUACGCAGUCACGAUAACGAGGGCCUCCUUUUUUAAAGCGAAGGAAGGGGCUCUGGGCCCACAUUGCUUGGCUGCCUUCUCCCAGCCGCUUUUGAACAGCGACAUAAACAAGAACACAUCUGACUGUGCAAGAAGUAGCCGCAGGUGGACGUAGAGUCUAAAUUCCUAUGUAAGAAAGACUUCUCCAAGUCGGUGGCUCUGGACACCAGGAAUAAGAACACUGCUAGAAAGAACACAAGCUAAGGCCUCUGUAUUAUAAAAAAUAAAAUAUUUGUAGGUGAUUCUAUACAGACUCCACCCUGUUCACCACCAAUCUCUGGAGAUUCUAAUAUGCAAUCCUGGUGGCAAACCACUGGCUGAAGGGAGAGUGUGGCAGAGCCAUCGACCUGCCAAGAGAUGCGGUUUGCCUGUCUCACCACACACAGCGUCUGACCACAGGUGGAUGCACACGCCAUCUGCCGAGUUUUGCGGCACUCAGGUCUUACACAACAGUGUGUGUGUGUGUGUGUGUGUGUAUGAGACAUGUGAUGCAUUUGCUUUGUACUCGCUAACUAAAAGGACCUGGCCCAGGGGUAAUCCUGCCAACUUUUAGGUGGUAUAAAAUUCUCCUAAUGUCCCUAUUUUGUCAUAACAGGUAUUAACUUAUAUUUAACUGAAG